rnacentral:rRNA from 1 species
CCUACGGGGGGCAGCAGUGAGGAAUAUUGGUCAAUGGACGAGAGUCUGAACCAGCCAAGCCGCGUGAAGGAUGACUGCCCUAUGGGUUGUAAACUUCUUUUAUAAAGGAAUAAAACGAGGCACGUGUGCCUUUUUGCAUGUAUUUUAUGAAUAAGGAUCGGCUAACUCCGUGCCAGCAGCCGCGGUAAUACGGAGGAUUCGAGCGUUAUCCGGAUUUAUUGGGUUUAAAGGGAGCGUAGGUGGGUUGUUAAGUCAGUUGUGAAAUUUUGCGGCUCAACCGUGAAAUUGCAAUUGAUACUGGCAGUCUUGAGUGCAGUUGAGGUAGGCGGAAUUCGUGGUGUAGCGGUGAAAUGCUUAGAUAUCACGCAGAACCCCGAUUGCGAAGGCAGCUUACUAAGCUGUGACUGACAUUGAUGCUCGAAAGUGUGGGUAUCAAACAGGAUUAGAUACCCUUGUAGUC